ACUCCCAAACCCAAUGUGAACGUUACCAAACUGUUGCCUCGGCGGGAUCUCUGCCCCGGGUGCGUCGCAGCCCCGGACCAAGGCGCCCGCCGGAGGACCAACCAAAACUCUUAUUGUAUACCCCCUCGCGGGUUUUUUUAUAAUCUGAGCCUUCUCGGCGCCCCUCGUGGGCGUUUCGAAAAUGAAUCAAAACUUUCAACAACGGAUCUCUUGGUUCUGGCAUCGAUGAAGAACGCAGCGAAAUGCGAUAAGUAAUGUGAAUUGCAGAAUUCAGUGAAUCAUCGAAUCUUUGAACGCACAUUGCGCCCGCCAGUAUUCUGGCGGGCAUGCCUGUCCGAGCGUCAUUUCAACCCUCGAACCCCUCCGGGGGGUCGGCGUUGGGGAUCGGCCCUCCCUCUGCGGGGGCCGUCUCCGAAAUACAGUGGCGGUCUCGCCGCAGCCUCUCCUGCGCAGUAGUUUGCACACUCGCACCGGGAGCGCGGCGCGUCCACAGCCGUUAAACACCCCAACUUUCUGAAAUGUUGACCUCGGAUCAGGUAGGAAUACCCGCUGAACUUAAGCAUAUCAAUAAGCGGAGG
rnacentral:rRNA from 1 species